rnacentral:rRNA from 1 species
AAAUUGAAGAGUUUGAUCAUGGCUCAGAUUGAACGCUGGCGGCAGGCCUAACACAUGCAAGUCGAGCGGAAACGAGUUCACUGAACCUUCGGGGAACGUGAACGGCGUCGAGCGGCGGACGGGUGAGUAAUGCCUGGGAAAUUGCCCUGAUGUGGGGGAUAACCAUUGGAAACGAUGGCUAAUACCGCAUAAUAGCUUCGGCUCAAAGAGGGGGACCUUCGGGCCUCUCGCGUCAGGAUAUGCC